AGUCUAGGCCAUACCACCCUGAACGCACCUGAUCUUGUCUGAUUUCAGAGGCUAAGCAGAGCUGGGCCUGGUUAGUACUUAGAUGGGAGAAAAGGAAGACUAAGAAAAAUAGCCACUUUGCUUU
rnacentral:rRNA from 1 species